rnacentral:pre_miRNA from 1 species
CUACUACUCCCUUCGUCCGGAAAUACUUGUCGUAGAAAUGAAUAUAAAUGGAUGUAUCUAGAACUAAAAUACAUCUAGAUACAUCCAUUUCUUGGACAAGUAUUUCCGGACGGAGGGAGUAUAUU